AAACAAGAGUUGUGGGCUUUGCCACUGUCUCUUACCCAUGUCUUUUGAGUACUUACGUUUCCUCGGUGGGCUCGCCCGCCGGUUGGACAAUUUAAACCAUUUGCAGUUGCAAUCAGCGUCUGAAAAACAUAAUAGUUACAACUUUCAACAACGGAUCUCUUGGUUCUGGCAUCGAUGAAGAACGCAGCGAAAUGCGAUAAGUAGUGUGAAUUGCAGAAUUCAGUGAAUCAUCGAAUCUUUGAACGCACAUUGCGCCCCUUGGUAUUCCAUGGGGCAUGCCUGUUCGAGCGUCAUUUGUACCUUCAAGCUCUGCUUGGUGUUGGGUGUUUGUCUCGCCUUGCGCGUAGACUCGCCUUAAAACAAUUGGCAGCCGGCGUAUUGAUUUCGGAGCGCAGUACAUCUCGCGCUUUGCACUCAUAACGACGACGUCCAAAAGUACUUUUUACACUCUUGACCUCGGAUCAGGUAGGGAUACCCGCUGAACUUAAGCAUAUCAAUAAGCGGAGGAGGAU
rnacentral:rRNA from 1 species